rfam:Populus trichocarpa scaffold_5_contig_144, whole genome shotgun sequence.
AUACCUUUCUCGGCCUUUUGGCUAAGAUCAAGUGUAGUAUCUGUUCUUAUCAGUUUAAUAUCUGAUACGUGGGCCAAUGGCUCACACGAUAUUAAAUUUAUUUUUUUAGGGGAGGGUCCAUCACAGUAGCUUGCUGCUGGGGCUCUCGAUCGUCGCCUUUGCGUUGCACUAUAACAUUGGCCUGGCGCACCCCAC